UGGGGUAUAGCUCCGUGGUAGAGUGCAUGCUUAGAAUGUGUGAGGUCCUGGGUUAAAUCACCAGUACCUCCA
rnacentral:tRNA from 1 species